rnacentral:rRNA from 1 species
AGUGAACGCUGGCGGCGUGCCUAAUACAUGCAAGUCGAACGGAGAUUCAGUAGCUUGCUAUUUAAUCUUAGUGGCGCACGGGUGAGUAAUAUAUAGCUAACUUGCCCAUUACUAAGGGACAACAGUUGGAAACGACUGCUAAUACCUUAUACUCCGUAUCUAUAUAAGUAGAUACGGGAAAGUUUUUCGGUAAUGGAUAGGGCUAUAUCGUAUCAGCUAGUUGGUAAGGUAAUGGCUUACCACGGCUAUGACGCGUAACUGGUCUGAGAGGAUGAUCAGUCACACUGGAACUGAGACACGGUCCAGACUCCUACGGGAGGCAGCAGUAGGGAAUAUUGCUCAAUGGGGGAAACCCUGAAGCAGCAACGCCGCGUGGAGGGUGACACUUUUCGGAGCGUAAACUCCUUUUCUUGGGAAAGAAUUAUGACGGUACCCAAGGAAUAAGCACCGGCUAACUCCGUG